rnacentral:sRNA from 1 species
UUGCCUGGUGAGAUUGCUCUUCUCUGCGCCAACGGCCCCGGCGCAUUCCUGAGUAAAGGUUUUCCUGUUAUCUAGAAACGCUUAACUGAAUGGCAUCUGAGACCCACUUUUACACCGUUUGUUGCACCGACACCCUAAGUUGUUAAACUCCUAUGAAGCCGCGGAAAUUGGCGACCUCCGUGAAAUUACCCUACUUGCGGUUGUUAAGUCUCUGCCCUACGGCGGAAUUCUGAACCAACACAGGAGUUGCAAUCUUCGGAAUGUGCCUCAUGACGCGUCAGAACAUAGCCAUUACGAUCGAUUUUUUGUGACCAUAGUGUUGUCGGCGCUUUUAAAAUUACAAGAAAAAUAUGUGCCGUGACCUUCCAGUCAUGAUAGUGGAAUCUGGCACACUAGGAUAUGCACUAUCCCUCCGCCCCACAGCUCUUUGCCCUCUAUCCCAAUAUUGGAGUCCAAAGGAUCGAAAGCGACUAAAUCAACUCUAGCCAGCCAUUUUCGACGAAAAGCUAAGGCUACAUACGAAAGCUAAACAUACACCAUCUUUCUCUUAAUACAAGAAUUGCUUGCUCAAUUUUACCUGAUGGACCAAGAAAUGCGCUAUACCAAAAUGCUGCGGCCUGGUGUCCUACCAUGAUUGCGAAUGUUGACUACUCACUCCUGGGUAAAUGAAGCCGUCAUACACCAGGAACUUUUUGUAGAACAGAACGCUGUCGUUAGGAAGCCGGGACGAAGCUGGUCGUUGUAUUGCUUGGCAAAAAUGACACCGGCUUAAAUCGUCUUGGGUAAAUCAAGGUGUUUGCGGGCGUGUAUCAAGACUAACUACGAUACGUUGGUAACUAAUACCACGAGGUUGACAAAUGAGUCUGCGAAAAAACUGCGCUACGUUCGAACAAUCAAUCCACUAAAACCUGAGGUGAAGCAGUGAGCUGAACAGAGAGACGCAACCUGCAUUUGUACAGUACAUUGGUUUAAAGAUAAUAUAUUCCUCCCGUCACGACAAAUAAUGCCCGCUUUAAGCAAAGUCGAUGGCCUCGACUUCCCAGUCCAGACAUUCCUCCCGACAGUCCACCACCUCAAUAUCGAGGAGCCAAUUAUUAUCCUAAUCAGCGAAAGUUGCUUUAUAACAACAUUCUUGUCCCUUUUACGAACUCUCGUUCCUUUCCUCGGAAAGGAACAAUAACUGGUAGAGUCCAAGCAAUAGCCACGG